UCUCACAGCAAGAAAUGAGUAAGUGUGCUGGUGGUUUUAACCAGCACUAAACGCACCACAUUAUUUGGUGUGCUGUCCGGGAAAGUCAAAUUGGCAAAUUCAAACCACUACACCUGUAGAAUAAAUUUCUAUGUCUGAGUCUGUUGCUUCCACAACCCCUUUUCUUGGAAUUAUUUGUUUUAGAAAUCCCUUGAUAACUGAUCCAGUGAUUGCUGAGGAAGUCAGAAUUGCUUUUACCACUCUGUUAGCUGCCCUGGUGUCAGCAGAAGAUAUUUAAACCUUCCUGCUCAGGGCAUUUCAGUGCCAGGCUCUUACAAGCACCCCCAGCUCGGCAGGUUGAGCUGACCAUGGGGGCAGUAACCAGUGCUUUGUCUAAUUCCCUUUCCUUAACAAUAGCGAGUCUUGUCACUCUUUUCCCUUCUGCUGCCAUUGAAACCGCAUCCAAAACCACAUUUUCUCCCUCAGUCCAGGGAAUGUCUCAUAAAUCUCUCCCAGCCUGAGUCUGGAGCUCUGUCAUUUGAAUGCAGUCAUGUUCUCUUUAUCAUGUCCACACCAUAACACUGUGGCUGUCUGGGGAUAAAAAGUCAUACAAUGUUCUGGCAAGAGCAGAGAAUCCUCAGGUCCUGCAAUUCCCUAAUAAUCCUAAAAAUCGUCAUAGCUCGUUUUAGAGCUAGUUAAUGUUACUUCUGAGAUUCACUGGACCCUCUCUGGGUCAAUUCACCACAAACUUUCAGUCAAAAAAUGUCCCAAAUAUUUAGCCUUUUUCUCCACUAUUUGCACUUUUUUUCCCUCCCCAAAUACUCAAAGGUACUUUUUAGCCUGAAAAUUAAGGCAUUGCACAGCGGCUUCUUCUACCUCUUCUCCUUGUCCUCCUGACUGGAUCAAGUCAUCCACAUCCUGCAUUAAGCCAGUCCCUGGGGGUGAGGUCAAUUCCUUUGAUAUUUCCUGCAAGGCUUGCCCCAAUCAGGCCGGUGCUUCCGUGCAUCCCUGCAGAAGGACCGUCCAUGUCUUGAGCAUUUUCCCUUCUAGCUCUUGUUGCCAGCCCAAGGCAGAAUUGUGUUUGCAUCCUCUGUGAGUGGGCAGAUCCCCAGAAAGCAUCUUUUGCAUCAAGUUCUGAAUGGCAGCAGUGUGAGGAGGGCACCUGGUUUAGGCUGGUGUAAGGAUCUGAGAGUGUGGGGUGCCUCGGUUUCAUCAUCUCAUUUCUUAUUCUUGGGUCCUGCAGCAUUCUGUGGAUUCCAUUGGAUUUCUUCUUUGGCAGGAUAGGAGCAUUCUAGGGAGCCAUCCCUGGCUCCCCAAGCCGUGCCUUGAGCAGGACUCCCAGACAGGCUGUGAGCCCUUCCUUCCCUCCCUUGGAACAGGGGAUUGCUUUUCGACACCUCUUGUCCUGGUUGCUUUAGGGAAAUUUGGAGAGGUUCCAUAUCUAAUUUUGCCAAUUUCCCUGGGGCUGCCCACACUUGUGGGUUCACUUCAGCCUAGGCUCUUCCAGACAUUUGACACAGAGGUACAACAGAACCAGCCUCUGUAUCACCUUUUGCAAUGUUAAUUUGCAUUCCCCAUUUAGCCAUCAAAUCCCUUCCCAGUAAAUUACAAUUGCAAUUAGGAGGAAAUGAAAAUUCAUGCUGUGAAAAAUAAGCUUCAUGCUUUAGAAUUUUUAAAAAGUUUAAUAGGGGAUAAAAGAAGGGACAAAAAUAUCCAGUGCUGGGGUGUCUCUGGCUGGUUAGCCAGAGAGCACACUGGAGAUUUGAAACUGUGUUGUCUUUAUGCUAUAUCAUUCUGAAACAAAGACAAAAUGCUUAACUAAAAGGGGUGUCUGACAAAAACCAUACCCUGACACCCUAAUCCACAAGAACAGGAAAAAGAGUCAGUCUGCAAGAUGAGAUAAGGAGCUGGAAUGCACAAACAAGAUGCAAAGACAAAGGCACCACAUGAAAAAGGAGAUUCCUUGAACCCUAAGCCGGAAGAAACGCAUUUAAAGUUCCAAAGAAAAAAAAAAAAAGCGACCAAAGGACUGAAAGGGGCACAGGGCUAAUUGUAAUAUGAAGUGAAGACAGGCGGGGUUAGAAAAUUAAUAUGUAUUAGGCAUAUCGUGUAAACCUGGUCUGUAAAGGAUAAAAAGAGAAAACCAAAUCAAAAAGGGGUGCAUGCUUUUUGGAGGAGAUAUCCCCAUGCACCUCAGCGCUGAAUAAAUUCAUACCUGCUCUUAUAACUACUCUGCAAGUUAUAGGGUUCCUUUUAUUCCGCACUUCAAUUCCUGAGGCUCAUGCAUAUUCAUGUGGGUUUUAUUCAAACUUUCUUGGGAACUCCUGAUAUUUCGGGUUCUCUUCUUGUUUUCUUUGUUAGGAAUGUGGGAGUAGGGAAGGGCUUCAGGGGGAGCUCCGACCUCAUCAAUCACCGCAAGAUCUACACUGGAGAAAGACCCUACAAGUGGAGCCCAUACCCUCACUCCUCAAGGCCCAGUCCUUCGCCCAGUGGGAGAUGCAAAAGCAUCUGAAGUGAGGAUUCCACUGACCUCUGAGGGGAAUUUUUCACAGAUCACCGCCGCUGCUUCCCAAAUUGGGGUCCCCAGCCCUGAGGAGGAGGAUGACAUAAGGGCUUAUAUGUAAACGAGAGAGACCAGAGACUCAUGGGACGCACACAGACUG